rnacentral:sRNA from 1 species
AAAGCUAGCCUCUAGCGCAGAGUUUGCCGGGAGGGAGAAGGGGCAGAGGUGGAAAGCUUAACCCUCCGGUCGCCUCGGUAUUUGGGGCCGCCAAGACCCCUCGAACUCCGCAGAGCCCCUGAAUCUUUGAAUCUUAGGGCCAAAACUUCCCAUUCUCUUUCAAGGUAGAAGGAAGCCACCGAAAGCUGAGGUCCAGGCUACGCUGUUUCUCCCGGGCAAGGCGUUUCGGUUUCUUGACCGGCUCUUCCGGAAAUGAUUUUUAACUCCCAUGCUGGCCUGAAUCCUGCGCUGGGAAGAACUGCAAACAGCCUCGACUAUCUAAACUCAGCUUUGACUUCUUAAAAACCGGAGUCUCUGAUUCGGGCGCAGAGGAUAGAAGUUCCAGGGGGAUAUAUAUAUGGUGGCUCUAUAUACUCACACUAGAAGAGCUCCUGUUUUUAAAGGGAGGAGAAGGACAGGAAAGUGGCAACGGAUGUGUGCAAACCCAGAGCAGAAAAAUGCAUAUUUUAUUAAACAUCCGAGCUGCUGGUUGCAUGAAAAGGCUUUGAGCAACCAAUAGAAACCGAGGAUCGCGAAUAUUCCGCUUGAACCUGUUGAUCUCUGUGGGUUAAGCGUUUAGGGUCGAGUCUGCGUUUCCACGAGGGAGGGCGAAGAGAGAACAGAAAGAGCGGUUGCUUUCGCCCGCCACCGGAGGCUGGUUUUCCGCCUCCUGCCUUCUGGCCCGGCUUGGGCGGCGAGCCCUUUGGGCGGCCAACAUGGCGUGGGCGCCUGUGCUCGUGCGACCCCGGUCGGGCAGGGGGGACGGAGAUUACCUGGCUGUCCGGGGGACCUUAUGCAGGGUUUGGCCCGAUCCCAGGGGCAGCGAGGGGCGUCUGCGGAUGCUGCUCCUUGUGCGGCACAACACCGGGGUCUGUUGCUCUCGCUGAUACCUUUCGGCCCAAUUGUUCCUAAAUUAGACCAGCAAGUUUGCGGUAGGCAGAGAGCCAGAGGUGGUGAGAGCUGGCCUGAGAACGAGCCAGCCUUCUGGGAAUGGCCGGUGUGAGAGGCCAGUGGGUGGCCUUGCCGCGCCCUUAUGUCCAGACCUUGCUCUGUGAGAGGCCUGGCGCUGCGCCUUUGAUUUCUGUGAUUGCUCCGGAGAAAGUGAGUGCGAAAGUGAGUGGAAAGCAUUUGGUGUUUGCCGGGGAAGGCCGGUGACUGUGGGGUGGAUAGUGAGGCGGUGAGUCGAGGUACAUUUGUGGAGGAGGUGGUGGAUGACUGCCCACCUUGCCCCAGGCGGCCGCUCAGACUUGACCUUUGCGCUUCCCCGGGAUAUUCUUCCUCCGGGUGGGGUGAGAAGCCGGACCAGGAUUCCACGAGGGGGAAGGAUUCUCUAUUCUUUUUUGCGACAAAUCUGGUAACAGGAUUUGCUGUGCUGUUUUCGUCCGUGUGUGUGUGUGUGUGUGUGUGUGUGUGUGUGUGUGUUCGUGUGUGUUCGUGUGGAUGCACGUGUGGCCCCGCUGGGGUGCCCCCUCCAGUGUCCCCGGAGCUGAAAGAUCGCAAAGAGGAUGCGAAAGGGAUGGAGGACGAAGGCCAGACCAAAAUCAAGCAGAGGCGAAGUCGGACCAAUUUCACCCUGGAACAACUCAAUGAGCUGGAAAGGCUUUUUGACGAGACCCACUAUCCCGACGCCUUCAUGCGAGAGGAACUGAGCCAGCGACUGGGCCUGUCGGAGGCCCGAGUGCAGGUUUGGUUUCAAAAUCGAAGAGCUAAAUGUAGAAAACAAGAAAAUCAACUCCAUAAAGGUGUUCUCAUAGGGGCUGCCAGCCAGUUUGAAGCUUGUAGAGUCGCACCCUAUGUCAACGUAGGUGCUUUAAGGAUGCCAUUUCAGCAGGCAAGUUCAGGCGCAGCUGCAGCUGGACAGCGCUGUGGCGCACGCGCACCACCACCUGCAUCCGCACCUGGCCGCGCACGCGCCCUACAUGAUGUUCCCAGCACCGCCCUUCGGACUGCCGCUCGCCACGCUGGCCGCAGAUUCGGCUUCCGCCGCCUCGGUAGUGGCGGCCGCAGCAGCCGCCAAGACCACCAGCAAGAACUCCAGCAUCGCCGAUCUCAGACUGAAAGCCAAAAAGCACGCGGCAGCCCUGGGUCUGUGACGCCAACGCCAGCACCAAUGUCGCGCCUGCCCCGCGGCACUCAGCCUGCACGCCCUCCGCGCCCCGCUGCUUCUACGUUACCCCUUUGAGACCUCGGGAGCCGGCCCUCUUCCCGCCUCACUGACCAUCCCUUGUCCCCUUUCGCAUCUUGGACUCGGAGAGCCAGACUCCACGCAGGACCAGGGAUCUCACAAGGCACGCAGGCUCCGUGGCUCCUGCUCGUUUUCCUACCGGAGGGCCUAGAAUUCGGUUUUGUAGGAGCGGGUUUGGGGGAGUCUGGAGAGAUACUGGACAGGGGAGUGCUGGAACCACGGAGUUUGGCUCACCGCAAAGCUGCAACGAUGGACUCUUGCAUAGAAAAAAAAAAUCUUGUUAACAAUAAAAAAAUGAGCAAACAAAAAAAUCGAAAGACAAACCGGAGAGAAAAAGAGAAAGGGAACUUAUUUCUUACUGCUAUUUGGCAGAAGCUGAAAUUGGAGAACCAAGGAGCAAAAACAAAUUUUAAAAUUAAAGUAUUUUAUACAUUUAAAAAUAUGGAAAAACAACCCAGACGAAUCUCGAGAGACUGGGGGGAGUUACCAACUUAAAUGUAUGUUUUUAAAAAUGCGCUAAGAAGGCAAAGCAGAAAGAAGAGGUAUACUUAUUUAAAAAACUAAGAUGAAAAAAGUGCGCAGCUGGGAAGUUCACAGGUUUUGAAACUGACCUUUUUCUGCGAAGUUCACGUUAAUACAAGAAAUUUGAUGAGAGAGGCGGGCCUCCUUUUACGUUGAAUCAGAUGCUUUGAGUUUAAACCCACCGUGUAUGGAAGAGCAAGAAAAGAAAAUAUUAAAACGGGGAAAGAGAAAAAUAAUAUUAACACAAAAAAAUGCCACAGACAAUGAUUUCUCUGAGAAAUUAUUAUGGCAAAACUGUCUGGACUGCUGACAGUAAAUUCUGGUUUGCAUGUUACUUGUAUUCCAUUGAUGGUGUGUCUCCUCCCCCUUAUCUCCCAUGCACUCACUCCAUUUUGAUCUUCACUAUGAAAAACAAUACCAAAAGCAUCUGGAAAUUGAUAUAUAUAUAUAUCCAUAUAUAUAUCAUAUAUUUGCCAUAUAUAUAUAUAUAUUUGCCCUGUCUUUGAUCCUGGGGAACAAAAGAAAAAGUCAGAAAGGGAGAAAAUUACACUCAUUGUCCUAAGAAGACAGAGGUGGGCAGAAUAUGUGGGGAAAGGAAAAAGAAAACAAGACCACCAAAUGAAAUAAUGAAGGUACAGCGCCUCGCUGUGCCAGACACAGUAGGCGCUCAAUCAGUAUUAGUUGCCACCAUUCCCUUUUUCUUGUGUUCCUUCUUGUUGGUUUCCUGAAGUCCUAUUUGAAGACAGUGCUUUAUUUCCCCCUCUCUAUCCCGUCAAAUUCACCUUAAAUAACACCCAGCUAGAUACAGGCACUAGGUUUGUGUAAGAUAUGUUGAUACACACGAACAAAGUUUAUUUUGGCUAUAAUGUGUGGACUGACUUUCAACAUUUGCAUUUUAUCUCACAAAGGUGUAUCUAUUCAAGUAACCUUGUUUUUGUGUGUGUGUGUGUGUGUGUGUGUUUGUUUUUUCUUUUGGUUGUUUGUUUCAAUUCAUGUAGCUAUUUAAACUGGGAUACCUUGGACUAAGCCAGUCUGUAUCCCAAUUCGCUAGCAAGCCUAAGUUUGUGGGUUUUUGUUUUUGUUUUUGUUUUACCUUCUAAUUUACAAGAAAGAGAAAAAGCUCUUCUAACUGAACUUUGGUAUGCGGUUGAGCUUUGUAACUAUUUGUUCUCCAUGAAAACAAAAUUAUUUAUAUUUGACAUAUUUUUUUCUAGUGUAUUAAGUUAUUUUAAACAAAAGAUGUUAUCUCAUGACGUGUUGUCAGUACAAAAUGUGUCGCCUCCAGUUCUGUUAAACCUUUUAAGUAAGUGCCAAGUUAUUAAUUGAAGACACUUUGCGAUCAAUUGAAUGAAAAUAUCGUUUCAUUUGAUGGGGUUCGCGUCAUCUUUGUUCCUGAUACUAUUAAAAUAUCCGGGAUAGUCUUUCCCUUUUCC